rnacentral:rRNA from 1 species
UACAGAGGGGGCGAGCGUUGUUCGGAAUUACUGGGCGUAAAGGGCGCGUAGGCGGCCUGUUAAGUCGGACGUGAAAUCCCUCGGCUCAACCGGGGAACUGCGUCCGAUACUGGCGGGCUUGAAUUCGGGAGAGGGAUGUGGAAUUCCCGGUGUAGUGGUGAAAUGCGUAGAUAUCGGGAGGAACACCAGAGGCGAAGGCGGCGCACUGGACAGCAACUGACACUCAACUGCGAAAGCGUGGGGAGCAAACAGG